rnacentral:tRNA from 1 species
GCCGGAGUGGUGAAAUUGGUAGACACCGGGGACUUAAAAUCCCCCGGGCUUAAUAAGCCCGUACCGGUUCAAGUCCGGUCUCCGGC